GAGCUCACAGCAGCAGCACAUGCACUAAAAUUGGAAGGAUGCAGAGAAGAUUAGCACGGCCCCUGUGCAAGGGUGACAUGCAAAUUCAUGCGAAGCUUCACACGCUU